rnacentral:rRNA from 1 species
GAUGAACGCUGGCGGCGUGCCUAAUACAUGCAAGUCGAGCGAAUGGAUUAAGAGCUUGCUCUUAUGAAGUUAGCGGCGGACGGGUGAGUAACACGUGGGUAACCUGCCCAUAAGACUGGGAUAACUCCGGGAAACCGGGGCUAAUACCGGAUAACAUUUUGAACCGCAUGGUUCGAAAUUGAAAGGCGGCUUCGGCUGUCACUUAUGGAUGGACCCGCGUCGCAUAGCUAGUUGGGGAGGUAACGGCUCACCAAGGCAACGAUGCGUAGCCGACCUGAGAGGGUGAUCGGCCACACUGGGACUGAGACACGGCCCAGACUCCUACUGGAGGCAGCAGUAGGGAAUCUUCCGCAAUGGACGAAAGUCUGACGGAGCAACGCCGCGUGAGUGAUGAAGGCUUUCGGGUCGUAAAACUCUGUUGUUAGGGAAGAACAAGUGCUAGUUGAAUAAGCUGGCACCUUGACGGUACCUAACCAGAAAGCCACGGCUAACUACGUGCCAGCCGCCGCAGUAA